UCAUUUUUACGUAAUGGAUACCACCACAGAUUCAUUCACACUUUAAAACAUAUUCACGUGCAGUUUUCUAAAUCUAGCAGUAAAAGAAAUACAAACUACGUCUGGACUGCCAACAUGGAGAGGCAGAUUCUUCUCGUGAUUCUCAUUGUAGUUACAGGUGUAUUUGCAGAUAUUAAUCCAAGAGAAGGACAAACUGAUAUAAUCAAAGAAGAAGGAGAAUUUGUGACACUGAGCUGCACAUAUGAAACUAACAGCAAUGAUAUUUGGCUUUACUGGUACAGACAGCAUGCGCAUGGAGAACUUCAGUUUUUACUACUCAAAGGAGCCCGAUCACAGAGCUAUGAGAAUAUAGCAGACAAACGGUUUCGAUCGACUACAUCCCAGUCAUCCACUGAACUCAUUAUUGAGAAAGCAGUUCUUUUAGAUUCAGCUCUGUAUUACUGUGCUCUUCGAGUAGCCCAGUGAUACAAAAUACCAGAGAAGCUUUACAAAAACUCAAAUACACAAUGUGCUUUGAACAAGCUUUAAUCAAAUUGCAUCAAACCACAGUUUAUUAUUUUUUUUGAAUACCACAGCUCUAAGAAUUAGAAUGUGGCAACACCUGUGAAUUUGGGAGAUUACGGCAUGUAAAACACUUAUUUGUUUUUGUAAAUGUUAU